GUGGAUUAGAUACCCUGGUAGUCCACACAGUAAAUGAUGAUAACUCGCUGUCGGCGAUACACAGUCGGUAGUCAAGCGAAAGCGAUAAGUUAUCCACCUGGGGAGUACGACCGCAAGGUUGAAACUCAAAGGAAUUGACGGGGGCCCGCACAAGCGGAGGAACAUGUGGUUUAAUUCGAUGAUACGCGAGGAACCUUACCCGGGCUCGAACGGUACAUGAACGAUCAAGAGAUUGAGAGGUCCUUCGGGACAUGUAUCGAGGUGCUGCAUGGUUGUCGACAGCU
rnacentral:rRNA from 1 species